GAUUUCCCAUUCCGCAAGGAAGUAAGAUCCCUGAAAGAUGAUCAGGUUGAUAGGUCUGAGGUGGAAGUGUGGCGACACAUGGAGCUGACAGAUACUAAUCGAUCGAGGACUUAACCAA
rnacentral:rRNA from 1 species